rnacentral:rRNA from 1 species
AACGAACGCUGGCGGCGCGUCUUAAACAUGCAAGUCGAACGGCAGGAAGGGGCUUGCCCCUUCUGAGAGUGGCGGACUGGUGAGUAACACGUGGGUGACAUACCUUUUAGUUGGGGAUAGCUAUUAUAAAUAGUAGGUAAUACCGAAUGUGACCGUACCUGUUAGAGGGGUACGAGGAAAGGAGCUAAGUCUUCGCUAAAAGAAUGGCUCGCGGCCCAUUAUGCUCGUUGGUGAGGUAACGGCCCACCAAGGCGAUGAUGGGUAUCCGGCCUGAGAGGGUGAACGGACACAUUGGGACUGAGAUACGGCCCAGACUUCUACGGGAGGCAGCAGUUAAGAAUAUUCCGCAAUGGACGAAAGUCUGACGGAGCGACGCCGCGUGGAUGAAGAAUGCCGAAAGGUUGUAAAAUCCUUUUAAGCCUGAUGAAUAAGCACAGUAGGGAAUGAUUGUGCGGUGACCGUAGGGCUUGAAUAAGCACCGGCUAAUUACGUG